CCUACGGGAGGCUGCAGCUAAGAAUAUUCCGCAAUGGACGGAAGUCUGACGGAGCGACGCCGCGUGGAUGAAGAAGGCUGAAAAGUUGUAAAAUCCUUUUGUUGAUGAAGAAUAAGGAUGAGAGGGAAUGCUCAUCUGAUGACGGUAAUCGACGAAUAAGCCCCGGCUAAUUACGUGCCAGCAGCCGCGGUAACACGUAAGGGGCGAGCGUUGUUCGGAAUUAUUGGGCGUAAAGGGCAUGUAGGCGGUUAUGUAAGCCUGAUGUGAAAUCCUGGGGCUUAACCCCAGAAUAGCAUUGGGUACUGUGUAACUUGAAUUACGGAAGGGAAACUGGAAUUCCAAGUGUAGGGGUGGAAUCUGUAGAUAUUUGGAAGAACACCGGUGGCGAAGGCGGGUUUCUGGCCGAUAAUUGACGCUGAGAUGCGAAAGUGUGGGGAUCG
rnacentral:rRNA from 1 species